UACGAAGGGUGCAAACGUUGCCCGGAAUUAUUGGGCGUAAAGCGCACGUAGGCGGUAUUGCAAGUCGGAUGUGAAAUCCCUCGGCUCAACCAAGGAAGUGCAUCCGAAACUGCAGUACUUGAGUACGAAAGGAGGAUCGCGGAAUUCCCGGUGUAGAGGUAGAAAUUCGUAGAUAGUCGGGAGGAACACCAGUGGCGAAGGCGGCGAUCGUGGGUCGAUACUGACGCUGAGGUGCGAAAGCGUGGGGAGCAAACAGG
rnacentral:rRNA from 1 species